AUUCCAGCUCCAAUAGCGUAUAUUAAAGUUGUUGCAGUUAAAAAGCUCGUAGUUGGAUUUCUGGUUAGAUGCGCCUGGCCCGCCGACGUUCAGUCGUGUGAAGUGCUGGUGCGCAACUGCCAUCCUUCUAGAGAAGGGACCAACGGUUCAUUCCGGUUCGGUUCACAAUCUAGAUCUUUUACUUUGAAAAAAUUAGAGUGUUUAAAGCAGGCUUUUGCUAUGAAUACAUUAGCAUGGAAUAAUAAUUUAGGACUCUGUUUCUAUUUUGUUGGUUUCCGGAAACGGAGUAAUGAUUGAUAGGGAUUGUUGGGGGUGCUAGUAUUCAGCGGCCAGAGGUGAAAUUCUCGGAUUCGCUGAAGACUAACUUAUACGAAAGCAUUCACCAAGGAAGUCUUCAUUA
rnacentral:rRNA from 1 species